rnacentral:rRNA from 1 species
UACGUAGGGAGCAAGCGUUGUCCGGAAUCAUUGGGCGUAAAGCGCGCGUAGGUGGCCCUGUAAGUCCGUUGUGAAAGUCAAAGGCUCAACCUUUGAAAGCCGAUGGAUACUGCAGGGCUAGAGUACGGAAGAGGCGAGUGGAAUUCCUGGUGUAGCGGUGGAAUGCGCAGAUAUCAGGAGGAACACCAAUAGCGAAGGCAGCUCAGCUGGGACGUUACUGACGCUGAGGAGCGAAAGCGUGGGGAGCGAACAGG